GAACGAACGCUGGCGGCAGGCCUAACACAUGCAAGUCGAACGCUCUCUUCGGAGGGAGUGGCGGACGGGUGAGUAUCGCGUGGGAACCUAGCCUUUGGUACGGAACAACCGCGGGAAACUGCGGCUAAUACCGUAUAUACCCUCCGGGGGAAAGAUCAUCGCCAAGGGAUGGGCCCGCGUCUGAUUAGCUGGUUGGUGAGGUAAUGGCUCACCAAGGCAUCGAUCAGUAGCUGGUCUGAGAGGAUGAUCAGCCACACUGGGACUGAGACACGGCCCAGACUCCUACGGGAGGCAGCAGUGGGGAAUAUUGGACAAUGGGGGCAACCCUGAUCCANCCAUGCCGCGUGAGUGAAGAAGGCCCUAAGGGUUGUAAAGCUCUUUCAACGGUGACGAUGAUGACGGUAGCCGUAGAAGAAGCCCCGGCUAACUCCGUGCCAGCAGCCGCGGUAAUACGGAGGGGGCAAGCGUUGUUCGGAAUUACUGGGCGUAAAGGGCGCGUAGGCGGUCUGUUGCGUCAGGUGUGAAAGCCCUGGGCUCA
rnacentral:rRNA from 1 species